rnacentral:lncRNA from 1 species
GCAUGAAGCAUGACUCAAAUUUUGUGAGGCUGAGUAAUAAAAAGUCAUUUCUUUUCCUUCAAGGGCAGGCUACCAUGAGACUGACAGACUCAUGGUCUCAUUCAGCCUUUCUUCUACAAUGCCACAUGGACAGACAACUUCAUUUAGUCAAGGAAGCAUUUGGAGAUGUGGAAGCCCACCAGACAGAGAUUGAAGAAAGACUGAAAACACGAAACUACAGCUUUCAGCAUACAGAGCUGGAUCAUCUCAUCACAAGUUACAGACAAGGGAAGAAGGAACUCUGACGGAGUUAAUUCCUGCCUCUAGCUAUUAUCAGCCACUAUUGGCUAUUUUGCAACAAUAAACUAGCAAAAAUCAGAAAAAGAGAAACUGAA